CCUACGGGUGGCAGCAGUGAGGAAUAUUGGUCAAUGGGCGCGAGCCUGAACCAGCCAAGUAGCGUGAAGGAUGACUGCCCUACGGUUUUUAAACUUCUUUUAUAAAGGAAUAAAGUUAGGCACGUGUGCCUUUUUGUAUGUACUUUAUGAAUAAGGAUCGGCUAACUCCGUUCCAGCAGCCGCGGUAAUACGGAGGAUCCGAGCGUUAUCCGGAUUUAUUGGGUUUAAAGGGAGCGUAGCUUGGUUGUUAAGUCAGUUGUUAAAGUUUGCGGCUUAAACGUAACAUUGCCGUUGAUACUGGCAGACUUGAGUACACUUGAGGUAGGCGGAAUUCGUGGUGUAGCGGUGAAAUGCUUAGAUAUCACGAAGAACUCCGAUUGCGAAGGCAGCGUAC
rnacentral:rRNA from 1 species